GAGCGGCGGACGGGUGAGUAACGCGUGGGUAACCUGCCCUAUACACACGGAUAACGUACCGAAAGGUACCCUAAUACGAGAUAAUAUAUUUUUAUCGCAUGGUAGAAAUAUCAAAGCUUUUGCGGUAUAGGAUGGACCCGCGUCUGAUUAGCUAGUUGGUAAGGUAAUGGCUUACCAAGGCGACGAUCAGUAGCCGACCUGAGAGGGUGAUCGGCCACAUUGGAACUGAGACACGGUCCAAACUCCUACGGGAGGCAGCAGUGGGGAAUAUUGCACAAUGGGCGAAAGCCUGAUGCAGCAACGCCGCGUGAGCGAUGAAGGCCUUCGGGUCGUAAAGCUCUGUCCUCAAGGAAGAUAAUGACGGUACUUGAGGAGGAAGCCCCGGCUAACUACGUGCCAGCAGCCGCGGUAAUACGUAGGGGGCUAGCGUUAUCCGGAAUUACUGGGCGUAAAGGGUGCGUAGGUGGUUUCUUAAGUCAGAGGUGAAAGGCUACGGCUCAACCGUAGUAAGCCUUUGAAACUGAGAAACUUGAGUGCAGGAGAGGAGAGUAGAAUUCCUAGUGUAGUGGUGAAAUGCGUAGAUAUUAGGAGGAAUACCAGUUGCGAAGGCGGCUCUCUGGACUGUAACUGACACUGAGGCACGAAAGCGUGGGGAGCAAACAGGAUUAGAUACCCUGGUAGUCCACGCCGUAAACGAUGAGUACUAGCUGUCGGAGGUUACCCCCUUCGGUGGCGCAGCUAACGCAUUAAGUACUCCGCCUGGGAAGUACGCUCGCAAGAGUGAA
rnacentral:rRNA from 1 species